UACGUAGGGGGCAAGCGUUGUCCGGAAUCAUUGGGCGUAAAGAGCGCGUAGGCGGUCCGAUAAGUCGGUUGUGAAAACUCGAGGCUCAACCUCGAGACGUCGGUGGAAACCGUUUGGCUAGAGUCCGGAAGAGGAGAGUGGAAUUCCCGGUGUAGCGGUGAAAUGCGCAGAUAUCGGGAAGAACACCCGUGGCGAAGGCGGCUCUCUGGGACGGUACUGACGCUGAGACGCGAAAGCGUGGGGAGCGAACAGG
rnacentral:rRNA from 1 species